rnacentral:rRNA from 1 species
CACGUAGGGCGCGAGCGUUGUCCGGAAUUAUUGGGCGUAAAGAGCUCGUAGGCGGCCUGUUGCGUCCGCUGUGAAAGCCCGGGGCUUAACCCCGGUCUGCAGUGGAUACGGGCAGGCUAGAGGUAGGUAGGGGAGAAUGGAAUUCCCGGUGUAGCGGUGAAAUGCGCAGAUAUCGGGAGGAACACCGGUGGCGAAGGCGGUUCUCUGGGCCUUACCUGACGCUGAGGAGCGAAAGCGUGGGGAGCGAACAGG